GUGGAAUUCUAGCAGACUGUAGCUGAAUACAGGACUUGUCGAUACUGUAUUGAGCUGCAGCCAUAGGCGAGGAGCGAGGACAUCAGGCCGCUAACAGGGACGCAUCUUUGUGUUCUAGCACAUUGCCACAAAUGUGCAUUCAGAAUGCUGCGGCAUGCUGGAAUCUCUUGUUCACUACCAUCGGCGACAGAUACUCUGCAGCUCCAUGCAGCAAGACACAAUAGUAAGCUUGUUCACGCAGCACAAUAGUAAAGCACACAAUAGCAUGCUUUCAGACAACAAUAGCUGAAUAAUCCACUGAGUAACUGCGUGGAUUUUAUUUUUUGUUUGAUUUAAGGCAGAAAUGAAUCUUACUGGAUGGGAUGGUGCAGUUAUUUUCACUGGUGCGAAGACCUCACAGUGGCAGGAACAGCUCUCUCCAAAUGUGCCUUUGACCCAGUGUUCAGAUUUAGCUCCCUUCACUCUAAUGCCAUGCUAAUUAUGAGUGACACAGGCCCUUAUCCUGAGAGCUCCUUUUCCUCGCUUUUCCUCCUCUCCCCUCCCCUUCUUCCUCCCCCCAACCCAUCUCCCGGGAACAGCUUAUUUGCCUGUUUUUAAUUGCGUUUUAAUUUACAUGUAAGCCUGCAAGCACCGUGAUGAGAAGCUGGUUUUUUUCUUCUUUCUUUUUCCCCCCUUCUUCUUCUGCUUCCCCAUUUCUUUCCAUCUCUCUCACCGCUGAGGAAUCAUUAACCGCAGCUUUAAAGAAGAGGAAGGGCAGGCAAGAUGGAGCAAUAAGACUCUACACUGCACAAAUGGGCACAACAAACCACGGCAGGGGAAAAAAAACCAAAAAAAAACAAGCGCAGGUUCCUCUUUAUGGGGUCAACACCGGUUCAGGAACAAUCAAGUGUCCAGGGCAGAGAGAAACAUGGCAGAGAGCGAGAGAUGGGAGGGGUAAAUGGGAGGGGAAGGGUGGGGGGUGUUGCGAGCUGAUGAUGUAGAUGAAGCGAGCAUCUCUCCAUCAAAAUGCAAUAAGAGGCAGAGUGGACAGAGAGCUCGCAGGUAGACAAGUUUAAUGUGCUCGACUAUCUAUAUGGAAAUUCAGCCACACAGUGGGCUGUUCACUCUGCUGCUUCAUUUUUCAUAAUUCACUUUGGCUUUUUUCUUUCCUUUUCUUUUUUUAUUGGCUUCUCGGGGGGAGAGGAGCAGAGAGAUAACGCAAGCUUUCUUUACUUGACAAAGAGCAUGACAGGGAUUUAAGAUUUGUAUAAUAUUUAGAGAGAUAAUCAAGCCGCCACGGAGCGUCUGCCAUUUCUCACAAUAAGGUAACUCACAAACUGCCGUCCACAGCAGUUCUAAAGUCACAGUAUAAACAAAGACUUUGCUGCACAAUGUUAUCUAUUGUUUUCAUUCUUUGUAUUUCACUCUCUGUUUUUUUUUAUUUUACAUUCUUGAGCUACACUUUCAGAACCUCAAUUUAAAAUCUCUCCAACUUGGAGCUGCGCAUGCAUCCUCUCUGUAUUCACAUUAGCAUAAAUCUGUUUUACAUUAUAGAAAACUUUUCCGACAAUAAGCCGGAAUACCCACACGGCUGUAUAAUCAACCCUCACACCCACUCUGAUGGCCUAAGGCAAGCCUGUCAGGACUCAUAAAAGCAGGGCUGGCAGUAUGUGCGCCUGUCAGUCAUCGCCCUGUCGCUCGAACUGCUGCACCAGACAUCAUACACUCAACACAGGAACCCGUUGUGUGUCACAGGUACUGCAGCUUACCACAUCAGAACAGAAAGGCCUCUUCCUGAACACAACAGCACAGACAGCCU
ensembl:lncRNA